rnacentral:rRNA from 1 species
GUCGAACGAUGAACCGCUUUCGGGCGGGGAUUAGUGGCGAACGGGUGAGUAACACGUGGGCAAUCUGCCCUGCACUCUGGGACAAGCCCUGGAAACGGGGUCUAAUACCGGAUAUGACCGUCUGCCGCAUGGUGGAUGGUGUAAAGCUCCGGCGGUGCAGGAUGAGCCCGCGGCCUAUCAGCUUGUUGGUGAGGUAGUGGCUCACCAAGGCGACGACGGGUAGCCGGCCUGAGAGGGCGACCGGCCACACUGGGACUGAGACACGGCCCAGACUCCUACGGGAGGCAGCAGUGGGGAAUAUUGCACAAUGGGCGAAAGCCUGAUGCAGCGACGCCGCGUGAGGGAUGACGGCCUUCGGGUUGUAAACCUCUUUCAGCAGGGAAGAAGCGAAAGUGACGGUUACCUGCAGAAGAAGCGCCGGCUAACUAACGUGCCAGCAGCCGCGGUUAAUACGUAGGGCGCAAGCGUUGUCCGGUAAUUAUUGGGCGUAAAGAGCUCGUAGGCGGCUUGUCACGUCUGGUUGUGAAAACCCGGGGUUUAACCCCGGG